rnacentral:rRNA from 1 species
GAUGAACGCUGGCGGCGUGCCUAAUACAUGCAAGUCGAGCGAACAGACGAGGAGCUUGCUCCUCUGACGUUAGCGUCGGACGGGUGAGUAACACGUGGAUAACCUACCUAUAAGACUGGGAUAACUUCGGGAAACCGGAGCUAAUACCGGAUAAUAUAUUGAACCGCAUGGUUCAAUAGUGAAAGACGGUUUUGCUGUCACUUAUAGAUGGAUCCGCGCCGCAUUAGCUAGUUGGUAAGGUAACGGCUCACCAAGGCAACGAUGCGUAGCCGACCUGAGAGGGUGAUCAGCCACACUGGAACUGAGACACGGUCCAGACUCCUACGGGAGGCAGCAGUAGGGAAUCUUCCGCAAUGGGCGAAAGCCUGACGGAGCAACGCCGCGUGAGUGAUGAAGGUCUUCGGAUCGUAAAACUCUGUUAUUAGGGAAGAACAAAUGUGUAAGUAACUAUGCACGUCUUGACGGUACCUAAUCAGAAAGCCACGGCUAACUACGUG